AUGAUGCAGCCGGAAGGUUUUGUCGAUCCUAAGAAUGCUGACAAGGUGUGCAAGCUCCAACGCUCGAUUUAUGGGCUGGUGCAAGCAUCUCAGAGUUGGAACAUUCCCUUUGAUGAGAUGAUCAAAGCGUUUGGGUUUAUGCAGACUUAUGGAGAAGCCUGCGUUUACAAGAAAGUGAGUGGGAGCUCUGUAGCAUUUCUCAUAUUAUAUGUAGAUGACAUACUUUUGAUGGGAAAUGAUAUAGAGAUUUUGGACAGCAUUAAGGCCUACUUGAAUAAGAGUUUUUCAAUGAAGGACCUUGGAGAAGCUGCUUAUAUAUUAGGCAUCAAGAUCUAUAGAGAUAGAUCAAUACGCCUCAUAGGUCUUUCACAAAGCACAUACCUUGAUAAGAUAUUGAAGAAGUUCAAUAUGGAUCAGUCUAAGAAAGGGUUCUUCCCU
rnacentral:rRNA from 1 species